rnacentral:rRNA from 1 species
UGUUUCGGCUAGGGGGCCAUCCCGGCUUACCAACCCGAUGCAAACUGCGAAUACCGGAGAAUGUUAUCACGGGAGACACACGGCGGGUGCUAACGUCCGUCGUGAAGAGGGAAACAACCCAGACCGCCAGCUAAGGUCCCAAAGUCAUGGUUAAGUGGGAAACGAUGUGGGAAGGCCCAGACAGCCAGGAUGUUGGCUUAGAAGCAGCCAUCAUUUAAAGAAAGCGUAAUAGCUCACUGGUCGAGUCGGCCUGCGCGGAAGAUGUAACGGGGCUAAACCAUGCACCGAAGCUGCGGCAGCGACGCUUAUGCGUUGUUGGGUAGGGGAGCGUUCUGUAAGCCGUUGAAGGUGUGCUGUGAGGCAUGCUGGAGGUAUCAGAAGUGCGAAUGCUGACAUAAGUAACGAUAAAGCGGGUGAAAAGCCCGCUCGCCGGAAGACCAAGGGUUCCUGUCCAACGUUAAUCGGGGCAGGGUGAGUCGACCCCUAAGGCGAGGCCGAAAGGCGUAGUCGAUGGGAAACAGGUUAAUAUUCCUGUACUUGGUGUUACUGCGAAGGGGGGACGGAGAAGGCUAUGUCGGCCGGGCGACGGUUGUCCCGGUUUAAGCGUGUAGGUGUGUGCUCCAGGCAAAUCCGGUGCACUUUAACACUGAGGCGUGAUGACGAGGCACUACGGUGCUGAAGUGACAAAUGCCCUGCUUCCAGGAAAA